UACGGAGGGUGCGAGCGUUGUCCGGAAUCAUUGGGCGUAAAGGGCGCGUAGGUGGCCCGGUCAGCGUGCGGUGAAAGCUCGGGGCUCAACCCCGAGUCGGCCGUGCGAACUGCUGGGCUUGAGCACUGUAGAGGCAGGCGGAAUUCCGGGUGUAGCGGUGGAAUGCGUAGAGAUCAGGAAGAACACCGGUGGCGAAAGCGCUCUGCUAGGCCGCAACUGACACUGAGGGACGAAAGCUAGGGGAGCGAAUGGG
rnacentral:rRNA from 1 species